rnacentral:rRNA from 1 species
AUUGAACGCUGGCGGUAUGCUUAACACAUGCAAGUCGAACGGUAGCAGGCCUUCGGGCGCUGACGAGUGGCGGACGGGUGAGUAACGCGUAGGAAUCUGCCUCAUAGUGGGGGACAACGUGUGGAAACGCACGCUAAUACCGCAUACGCCCUACGGGGGAAAGCGGGGGGCCUUUGGGCCUCGCGCUAUGAGAUGAGCCUGCGUUAGAUUAGCUAGUUGGUGGGGUAAAGGCCUACCAAGGCGACGAUCUAUAGCUGGUCUGAGAGGACGAUCAGCCACUCUGGGACUGAGACACGGCCCAGACUCCUACGGGGGGCAGCAGUGGGUAAUAUUGGACAAUGGGCGCAAGCCUGAUCCAGCAAUACCGCGUGUGUGAAGAAGGCCCUAGGGUUGUAAAGCACUUUCAAUAGGGAGGAAAACCUGCCGGUCAAUACCCGGUAGCUUGACAUUACCUAUACAAGAAGCACCGGCUAACUCCGUGCCAGCAGCCGCGGUAAAAC